rnacentral:rRNA from 1 species
AGCGAACGCUGGCGGCAGGCUUAACACAUGCAAGUCGAGCGGGCAUCCUUGUGGUGUCAGCGGCAGACGGGUGAGUCACGCGUGGGAACGAGCCCUUCGGUUCGGAAUAACUCAGGGAAACUUGAGCUAUACAGGAUAAGCGCGAGAGCAGAAAGGUUUAUCUGCCGAAGGAUCGGCCCGCGACUGAUUAGCUAGUUGGUGUGGUUAUGGCUCACCAAGGCGACAAUCAGUAGCUGGGCUGAGAGGAUGAUCAGCCACACUGGGACUGAGACACCGCCCAGACUCCUACGGGAGGCAGGAGAGGGGAAUAUAGGACAAUGGGGGGAACGCUGAACCAGCCAGGCCGCGUGAGUGAUGACGGCCUGAGGGUUGUAAAGCUCAUUUCUCCGGGACGGUAAUGACGGUACCGGAGGAAUAAGCCCCGGCUAACUUCGUG